UCAUGGCUCAGGAUGAACGCUGGCGGCGUGCUUAACACAUGCAAGUCGAACGAUGAAAGCCGGAGCUUGCUCUGGCUGGAUUAGUGGCGAACGGGUGAGUAACACGUGAGUAACCUGCCCCAGACUCUGGGAUAAGCACUGGAAACGGUGUCUAAUACCGGAUACGAGCUUCAGCCGCAUGGCUAGGAGCUGGAAAGAAUUUCGGUCUGGGAUGGACUCGCGGCCUAUCAGGUAGUUGGUGAGGUAAAGGCUCACCAAGCCGACGACGGGUAGCCGGCCUGAGAGGGUGACCGGCCACACUGGGACUGAGACACGGCCCAGACUCCUACGGGAGGCAGCAGUGGGGAAUAUUGCACAAUGGGCGCAAGCCUGAUGCAGCAACGCCGCGUGAGGGACGACGGCCUUCGGGUUGUAAACCUCUUUUAGUAGGGAAGAAGCGAAAGUGACGGUACCUGCAGAAAAAGCACCGGCUAACUACGUGCCAGCAGCCGCGGUAAUACGUAGGGUGCAAGCGUUAUCCGGAAUUAUUGGGCGUAAAGAGCUCGUAGGCGGUUUGUCACGUCUGCUGUGAAAACUGGAGGCUCAACCUCCAGCCUGCAGUGGGUACGGGCAGACUAGAGUGCGGUAGGGGAGAUUGGAAUUCCUGGUGUAGCGGUGGAAUGCGCAGAUAUCAGGAGGAACACCGAUGGCGAAGGCAGAUCUCUGGGCCGUAACUGACGCUGAGGAGCGAAAGCAUGGGGAGCGAACAGGAUUAGAUACCCUGGUAGUCCAUGCCGUAAACGUUGGGAACUAGAUGUAGGGUCCAUUCCACGGAUUCUGUGUCGCAGCUAACGCAUUAA
rnacentral:rRNA from 1 species